rnacentral:tRNA from 1 species
UGGGGUGCAGCUCAGUGGUAGAGCACUUGCCUAGAAUGCACAAAGUGAGACCCUGGGUUCCAUCCCCAGCACCCCAG